CUGCUUUUUGUAUUUGCUUUUAGGAAAGACAUGCAAGAUGAAUUGCUGCUGCACAGAGUUACAGGAAAAAAUUGAAAAACAUGAACAGAUUCUUCUCUUCCUCUUAAGCAAUCCAACCAAUCAAGAGAAAUUUAUUGAAAUGAAAAAAUUGUUGUAGAGUUAAAAACAGUCUCUGUGAGAUAACACCUACAAGAAAGGCAACCAUGAAGGCUAGACUUAGGAGACAAAGUACAGCAUCUUGUGUCUCUGUUUUUGGGAAAUUUUUUCUUUAAUGGCCUUUUAUGCUUCCAUUUCCACUUGCUUGCCACCCUUCUCUUAGGGUGGGUAGUUUUUUUUUUUUCCUGUAAGUUCUUUCUCCCAGAUAAAUAAGUUUGCUUGGAAGAUUCGUAUCAAGUCAUGGUAUUACCAGGAAGGGAUCCAUGGGGAUUUUCGGCUAUAUAUAUAUGCACACUUUUUAAUAACUUACAGGUACUAAAGAAAAUAUGGCUUCUUGUUACUACUGGACAAAUCUAGUUGGUGAAUACAUGAGUUUCAUGGUUUGGACUUUUCUGUGUGCUUGGAAUACCUUAGAAUAAAACAUGCCCUGCUCUCUGUCACAUCUGCCUGCUUCUGCCACGUAAUAAAAGUUGAUUGAUUUGGUGGUAUUUUGGCCUCUGUUUUGCUUCUCCUACCCAGUCCAAGGUCAUCAGCUUCUUUCUGUCCAUUAGAGGACUUUUCCUUUGGCCUUUGAACAUGGAAUCUGUUCUUGGGCUCUCAGCCAGUCCACCAGCCUGACUGAGGAAGGCACUUUUUUCUUCUGCCUCUGCCAUCCAUAAUGCCCUUCCAAAUCCAAAAUUUUCUGAAGCACAAAUACAGUUUUUUAACAAUUCACAUUGAAAAUCUAAGAGUGUCUAUUUUUUUAAGCACAUGGAGUAACAUUAAAUUCUCCUAAACUCACGUGCAGAAUUGUGGGCCAACUGACUUUCCUGCCCAUCUGUAAGUUUCUGUUGGGGGAUUGUGCCAUACUUUAAGUAUCAGACCAUGACAAACUAAGGUGAUGGUAACACCAACCCAAUUUUUUUUUGGUGGGUUGUGUUUUCUGUUUUUGUUUUUUUACUGGUAAU